rnacentral:rRNA from 1 species
AGCGAACGCUGGCGGCAGGCUUAACACAUGCAAGUCGAGCGGGCGUAGCAAUACGUCAGCGGCAGACGGGUGAGUAACGCGUGGGAACAUACCUUUUGGUUCGGAACAACACAGGGAAACUUGUGCUAAUACCGGAUAAGCCCUUACGGGGAAAGAUUUAUCGCCGAAAGAUUGGCCCACGUCUGAUUAGCUAGUUGGUG